ACUAAAUAAUCUUGUAGCUCAACACCCCCCCUCUCAAGUUGGAGGGGGAUACCACCUUCAAAUUGGACAACAAGGGAUGCAGAAUGGUGCCAGGGAGUGGUUUGGUGAGAAGAUCAGCCAGCUGACGAGAAGUGGAUACAUGCGACAGUGUAAUAAGCCCAGCAGCCAACAAAUCACACACAAAAUGACAAUCUACUUCGAUAUGUUUUGUCCGCUCAUGAAAAACAGGGUUUUUGGCAAUAUGUAUAGCAGCCUGAUUGUCACAGAAAACAGAAAAAGGGAGAGAAACAGAAAUAUGGACAUGCGACAGUGUAAUAAGCCCAGCAGCCAACAAAUCACCACAAUCUACUUCGAUAUGUUUGGUCCGCUCAUAAAAAACAGGAUUUUUGGCAAUAUGUGUAGCAGCCUGAUUGUCACAUAAAACAGAAAAAGGGAGAGAAACACAAAUACCAAGGUCAGUUAGCAAUCGGGAAAGCCAAGACAGUUUAGCAACUACCUUACUGAGAGCCAUAUACUCAGCUUCAGCAGAAGAUAAAGAGACAACAGGUUGUUUCUUAGACUUCCAACUAAUCAAGCGGCCACCCAAAAGAAUACAAAACCCAGUCACAGACCUGUGAGUAUCUGGACAGGCAGCCCAAUCACUGUCAGAAUAAGCAUGGACAAACAAAUCAGAACUGUCAGAAUAGAAUAAACCCAAAUGCAUAGACCCUUUAAGAUAUCUUAGAACAUGUAUAGCAGUAGUCAUAUGUGGGACUCUGGGACACUUCAAGUAUUGACUCAGAUGCUGAACAGCAAAGCAGAUGUCAGGCCUGGUGUGAGUCAGAAAUAAGAGCUUACCAACAAUGCUUCUAUAUUGUUCAGGAGAGGAAAGAAUGUCACCAGAAUCAGCAUGGAGUUUCACAUUAAGAUCCAAAGGACAAACAACAGAAGUCCUAUAUUGAUCAGGAGAGGAAAGAAUGUCACCAGAAUCAGCAUGGAGUUUCACAUUAAGAUCCAAAAGACAAACAACAGGAGAAACAUUCAUACAGUCAAACUGAUGCAACAGUUCAGAAAUGUAUUUAUGCUGAUUAAGGAGCAUCCCACCAGUAACUACAGACAUCUCAAUGCCCAGAAAAUAAUGCAAAGACCCAAGGUCUUUGAUCCUGAACUGAUCAUCCAGAAACAGCUUCAUGGCAGAUAACUCAUCAUUGUCAUCCCCAGUGAUGAUAAUGUCAUCCACAUAAACUGCUACAAUAACCAGACAGCCAGGCUGGCCUUUGAGAAACAGAGAAUAAUCAUUCAUGGAAUAACUAUAGCCUCUGGAAUAAAGGGCAGAGGACAACUUGGCAUACCAUUGUCUGGAUGCUUGCCUCAACCCAUAUAGUGAUUUUUUCAAUUUACAUACAAGAGGAGGAGAUGGAGAAGAAACAGAGUUAGAAGAAGAUACAGAAACAGAUAAACCUGGAGGAAGCUUCAUAUAAACCUCCUCAUCCAAAUCACCAUGCAAGAAAGCAUUGUUAACAUCAAGUUGGAAANNNN
rnacentral:lncRNA from 1 species